CGUAGGGUGCGAGCGUUAAUCGGAAUUACUGGGCGUAAAGCGUGCGCAGGCGGUUUUGUAAGACAGGCGUGAAAUCCCCGGGCUCAACCUGGGAACUGCGCUUGUGACUGCAAGGCUAGAGUACGGCAGAGGGGGUGGAAUUCCACGUGUAGCAGUGAAAUGCGUAGAGAUGUGGAGGAACACCAAUGGCGAAGGCAGCCCCCUGGGUCGAUACUGACGCUCAUGCACGAAAGCGUGGGUAGCAAACAGGAUUAGAUACCCUGGUACGUCCACGCCCUAAACGAUGUCAACUAGGUGUUGGGUGGGUAAAACCAUUUAGUACCGGAGCUAACGCGUGAAGUUGACCGCCUGGGGAGUACGGCCGCAAGGUUA
rnacentral:rRNA from 1 species